CAGCCGCCGCGGGAAUACAGAGGGUGCGAGCGUUAAUCGGAUUUACUGGGCGUAAAGCGUGCGUAGGCGGCUUUUUAAGUCGGAUGUGAAAUCCCUGAGCUUAACUUAGGAAUUGCAUUCGAUACUGGGAAGCUAGAGUAUGGGAGAGGAUGGUAGAAUUCCAGGUGUAGCGGUGAAAUGCGUAGAGAUCUGGAGGAAUACCGAUGGCGAAGGCAGCCAUCUGGCCUAAUACUGACGCUGAGGUACGAAAGCAUGGGGAGCAAACAGGGUUAGAUACCCGCGUAGUCCCUGUCUCUUAUAC
rnacentral:rRNA from 1 species